GACAGCAUCAAAACACGUAGACAAAGAUCUUGGAAAUAUAGAAGAAAACAAAAAACUAGAAGAAAACAAUCAUAAAUCUGAAACUUAAGAGAAAAAGUGUCAGUCAUCGCUCCAGAGAAUACAUGUAGACCAAUUGAAGCAUGAACGUGGAUUGUAUUUAAACAUAUACAAAGAAUUGACAGCUAUUCAUGGUUCAAGUAUUAAACCGAUCAUACUACCAAGUUUUCAAAGGAUUUUAGACACAGUUAUCUCAAGCUAAAAAAAAAAAAAAAAAAACCCCACAAACUAAUUUUGGCAACAGCCAUGAUAAUAGGUCACCAUGUUGUGUUCUGUUUGAAAUAUUUUUUAUGUAAAUGUCUGCACUGAAGAUUUCUUUUUGUUUGCCUUUAUGUAAAUUUUUUACGUAGCUAUUUUUAUACACUGUAAGGCUUUGUUCUGGGAGUUGCUGUUAAUCUGAUGUAUAGUGUAAUGGUUUUAUUUCAGUUGUUUUUAUGACGCCCUUUGAGCAGGUACACGUCUAAUUCUGGUUGCUAUCGGUGAAGCCUCUGCUUUGUAGCAAGUACCUAGAGCGUAAGAUUGUCUUAAAGGAACACGUCAGACUCCUUUUUCAUUCUUUAAAAUCACAGCAAGGAGGGAGGGUGACAGCUGUGACAAGAAUCAACUAAAUUAUUAAGAAAAUUGAACAUUUAAAAAACCACGCAAAGCCGAACGGCCGGAGAGGGAAUAAAGGGUUCCCACGGAGAAGGCUAAGUGUUGAGCAAGGGACAGAGUGAAAGGUUCCUGGCCUACGUACAGACGGUGGCUAACAAUCCUUGUCUUCUAGAGCAAGCCACGCGUGUUACUGAUCCGUUAUCAGCCGUCUUUCAUGUUAGAGUUAGCAUAAGGAACUGGAAUUCUAGGUUGAUUUUGAUUCCUUUAUGUUAUCCGCUGCCUUAAAGUACUGUACCUUUUCUUCAGUUCAAAAAGAUACCAGUCAGAAGUGGAAAUUUUUUUUAAAAAAGUGGUCAUAUCAAAGCUGCAUUUUUUUUUCUCCACAAAAAUAGAAUAUAUAUAUUUUUUGUGUGUUUUUGUUAACUAUGCUACAGAUAUUGAAUGCACCUUGAGAUAAUUUUAGUGUUUUUAACUGGUACCUAAUUUAUCAAACAGUACAUAUAAUUGUAACAAUGAAAUGUCUUAUGUAUCUUUAGUUACAUUCAAGUUUGUAACUUUAUAAACAUGUUUUAUGCUUGAGGGAAUUUUUAGAAUGGUACUGAUAAGAAAACGCUUCAGGGUAAAUGGCCAACAGAAAGUUGUACGUAAGGGAGAGAAGUUUCAUCUUAGGUGGAAGGUUGGUUUCUGCAAGAAGGUAACAGGCAGCUUUGAUGGAGAGGAACAGUAGAGUAAGCAGAACGUCAGGUCUCCAUUUACAAAUAUCCAGGGAAAAAGUAAGUUUUUAUAGACUGGUAGGCA